GGCAUGAGCCACCACUCCCGGACAUGGAUGCAUCUCUUACAGAAGCUUGGACCCAAUUUCAGCCUCAAUGAAAGAGGAAGGAAAAGUGAACUGAUAAUGAAGCUAAGACAACAAAGCCAAGAAGUACCUCCAGGACCAUCCCAGCCCCUCGUUUUACAGGGCCAGACAGACAACUCCAUGGGCAGAGGAAGGAAGAUGGAGAGGCAGAGAGCGAAUGUGAAGGCUUCAGUUCGGAGGCAGAGACAGGGAUGGAGCGCACUUGGCCUGAUGCUGGUCAUCUCCUGUGCACUGAGCUCAGGCUGGGACAGGCUCUGGGAGAGUGUGCUGCCGCUGGCUCAGAAGGCUGAUUCCCUUUCCGAAGUCAUCACUCAUUAGGAGGAGAAUCCAACAAAUAUUUA
rnacentral:lncRNA from 1 species